rnacentral:rRNA from 1 species
GMGARCAGGAUUAGAUACCCUGGUAGUMCACSCYGUAAACGAUGAAUGCUAAAUGUUAGGGGGUUUGCGCCCCUUAGUGAUGCAGCUAACGCMUUAAGCACUCCGCCUGGGGAGUACGGUCGCAAGAYKGAAACUCAAAGGAAUUGACGGGGGCCCGCMCAAGCGGUGGAGCAUGUGGUUUAAUUYGAAGCAACGMGAAGAACCUUACCAGGUCUUGACAUCCUCUGACAAUCCUAGAGAUAGGACGUCCCCUUCGGGGGCAGAGUGACAGGUGGUGCAUGGUUGUCGUCAGCUCGUGUCGUGAGAUGUUGGGUUAAGUCCCGCAACGAGCGCAACCCUUGAUCUUAGUUGCCAGCAUUCAGUUGGGCACUCUAAGGUGACUGCCGGUGWCAAACCGGAGGAAGGUGGGGAUGACGUCAAAUC